UACGUAGGGGGCAAGCGUUGUCCGGAUUUACUGGGCGUAAAGGAUGCGUAGGCGGAUGUUUAAGUGAGAUGUGAAAUACCCGAGCUCAACUUGGGUGCUGCAUUUCAAACUGGAUAUCUAGAGUGCAGGAGAGGAAAGCGGAAUUCCUAGUGUAGCGGUGAAAUGCGUAGAGAUGCGGAGGAACACCGAUGGCGAAGGCAGCCCCCUGGGCUGACACUGACGCUCAGGCACGAAAGCGUGGGGAGCAAACAGG
rnacentral:rRNA from 1 species